AGAGAGAGAGAGAGAUACAGACAAACACAGAGAGAGACUAUACGCGAGAAUUUCUUUAUAUAAGGAGGGGAGGAGGGAAGAUAUUGUUUAGGUGGGCAGUGACAGGAGAGGGGAUUCGAGCGAACAGAGCACAUUCCUUCCCCUUUUCCAUUCUCAUGCGGAGGAGGUUGAAUUAGCCAACACAACUUCUUCUUGGUCUCACCACCCAAGAGUUUGGACUUGUGGGGGGGGGGGCUGCUCCAAUGAUGAUGGGCAACAGCUCCAAAUCUAAUUCCCUCCUCUGCAAGCUCUUCCUCCUCCUCUUCACCCUCUCAGGUUCGGUCGUAAGAACCCGAGGGGCCGGCCUAGGGAUAAACUAUGGGCAGAUUGCAAACGACCUCCCCAUCCCUUCCCGGGUCGCUGUCCUCCUCGAGUCCCUAAACAUCAGCCGGGUGAAGCUCUACGAUUCGGACCCGAACGUUCUCUCGGCAUUCGCGGGCUCCGAUGUGGAGUUCAUCAUAGGUCUGGGGAAUGAGUACUUGGUGGAUAUGAAAGACCUGAGCAAGGCUCAGGACUGGAUCCAGCAGCACGUCCAGCCCUAUGUGGGGCGGACCAAGAUCACCUGCAUAGUCGUCGGGAAUGAAGUCUACAGCAUGAAUGAUACACAGCUGAUUGGCUACGUCCUCCCGGCUAUGCAGUCGAUUUACACGUCCCUCACGAACCUCGGGCUGCAGAAACAAGUCACAGUCUCCACCGCUCACUCCCUUAACAUCUUAGCAAACUCUUACCCUCCCUCCGCAGGAACCUUCAGGCCGGAUCUUGCAAGUUAUAUUCAGCCCCUCUUGAGUUUCCUGUCUCAAAUUGAUGCCCCUUUCUUAAUCAAUGCGUACCCUUUCUUCGCCUACAAGGGUAGCCCGAAUGAUGUCUCUCUCCAGUACGUCCUUUUUGAGCCAAGCCAAGGGAUGACCGACCCUACCACGAACUUGAAAUACGAUAACAUGCUCUAUGCCCAGAUCGAUGCGAUCUACUCGGCGAUCAAGGCGAUGGGGCACACUGAUAUCGAGGUGAGGGUCUCGGAGACAGGUUGGCCCUCGAAGGGGGAUGCUGACGAGGCUGGGGCAUCACCCCAAAACGCAGGGCUCUACAACGGGAACUUGCUGAAGCGGAUUGAUCAGAGGCAGGGGACUCCCGCGAGACCAACAGUACCGGUUGACGUUCACGUCUUCGCAUUGUUUAACGAGAACUUAAAACCAGGUCCCACCUCGGAGAGGAACUAUGGUCUUUACUACCCAAAUGGCACACCAGUUUAUAGCAUCGGUUUGCAGGAGGUCGAGGGAAAGGGAUACCUUCCCGAGUUCACUAUCACAUCGAAUUCGAACAUGAGAGUCCCUUUGAUCUUCACUGUGUCAAUGCUCGCUAUGGCUCUCUCGUUGUUUGCUUGAGAGCAUCGCGACGGUUUCAUCGUUUCAAGGUGUGAGAGAUGAAGAAACUGGAAACUAAAGAUGCUUCAAUAUCCCAUAGAUUUCUUCUGUGACGCGAUUCAGCACCUUCAGUACAGUGGCGGGUAGCCUGUUUUAUGCUGCAUAACUGCAAGUUCAGGUCAUAAGAUUGGAAUCGAUCCGAAAAGUCCGACCGUGAAGAGUAUCAGAGUCAGUCAAUCUUAGCUGCUAAAAGGGUCACCAUUAAUUUAAGAAUCAACUGAGUGUUAAGCAGCCUAACCUUUUUAGUUAUUAAAUUCACAUUCCGAGGUAUGGAUGCUGCAUGUUUUGUUGAUCUUAAAGGUCAAAAACAGAGGAUGUAUCCCACUAAGCCUCCUGUCUUUCUUAGGAAACGCUCUUCCAAUACCCGAUAGCUAUGUUAUUAAUUUCGACAAAGGAAACGCAGUCCUCUGUUUUCUCAUAAGAUGCCGGUGACCCAGAUUUAACGUC